GUCGCGGUGGGCGGGUUCGCGGGCGGCGGCGGCCUCCAGGGCCGCGAGGUCGGUUCGGGCCUCCUCGCGGGCCUGUUCGGCUUCGGCCUGGGACA
rnacentral:tRNA from 1 species